rnacentral:rRNA from 1 species
UACAGAGGUCCCAAGCGUUGUUCGGAUUCACUGGGCGUAAAGGGCGCGUAGGUGGUUCGGUAAGUCUGAUGUGAAAUCCCAAAGCUUAACUUUGGAACUGCAUUAGAAACUACCGGGCUCGAGUCUAGGAGGGGGGAGUGGAAUUCUUGGUGUAGCGGUGAAAUGCGUAGAUAUCAAGAGGAACACCGGUGGCGAAAGCGACUCCCUGGACUAGUACUGACACUGAGGCGCGAAAGCUAGGGGAGCAAACGGG